UUGACGGACGGACGGACACGUGGACAUUACAUGUUGCUAUUGCCAAGCAACAUCUUAGCGGUAUGUGCGACCAAGUGUAUGACGAGUAACGUCACCCAAUUGCUGUUAUAGCAUUUACUUCAGACUUAUCAGUUUUAUGAUGCAAUUGCAGUUGCAAAACAAGCGCCUGUCGCUGCCUAGUGGUUAGAGGUGUGCAUCCUUGACACAGACCGUUCUCACAUCGGUUGGGUCUACGCAAACGGAAGUAAUCUAAAUGAUUUGACAUAACCAAGGACUGUCAACUCGGCAGUAUUUUCUCGAAAACUAUUUGAGGGAAUAUUUUCCGCCGCUACAGCAAAAACAACAACAACCGGUCGAAGAUUCAAUCCAAGUCCAUUAUACAAAUAUUUGGGAUAGCUGUUGUUAUUGUAGCGAUUAUUCAGCCCUGCUGGAACAGAAAACAGAAGUCUAGUUGUCAUCGAGGUCAUCUAACGGGAGCGAUAGACACGCCUGGAUGUAAAUAGUUCUGCCAUGAAAUGCGCACCGUAAUACCUUUGAUAUGGAUGUUAUUACCCCUUCGUUUCGGAUUCAGAGUGAAUUCCAAGAUUCAUGGCCAAUUUGUCAUAAUAUUAUUAUUUGACAUGAUUUUACCCUACGAAUUCCUCGGCUAACUCUUCUUACGACUGAACUGGACACGAAAAAAUUAAACUGUUGGUGCCUCUUGAUGUGACUUAAAAUGUCUUCACACGAAUUGUUCGUGUUCGCUGUUAGAGGUCAUAACGAAUUACUCUGCCCGAUAUACAGAAUACAUGUCCUGCAAGCAAUGAAUUCCCGCAUGAUACUUAUCACCACUUUGCAUGCCCAACUCAUUUAAAACCCCUUUUGGUCCGACCCCUUAUAUGACCUCGACAACUAGACUUAUGCUUUCCGUUCCGGAAUGGCUGGAUAAUCGUUACAAAAACAAAAACUACGAACUGCUCUGCAAUCAGUCAUCCCAUAUUGGAACGGAAUACUCGGAUUGCACCAACUACAUUUUAAAAUUUUUGCUACAAGGCCCAAACAUCAUUCCAAGAGCGUCAACCAACAUCUUUACCAACUAUUUAUCUGCAGAUGCAGUACGACUCCGAUUUGUAUUACUCAAAGAUAACCGCCUCGGCAAAUGCAUCAUACAAGCCACCAGAGUUCGAAAAUAUCUUCUUUGACGAUUGUUUUCUCCAAAAUUACCAGGCCAGACCAGGAAUCGUGUACUAUAAAACUAUUUUCCAAUAGUGUUGACAGAUGUGUGGAAUCGUCCGUCGAGAGUUUUUUGCCCAACAACUUAAUAUUUAUAGAAUAAAUGUAUGUAUGUAUAUAGAAUAUUGAAAUUUUUUCAAGAAUGUACGCUGAGAAAGGUGAAUAAUGCAAUAGUCACCAACGACGCCUUACGCAAUUAUAAU